AGUCGUACGAGAGUUUUUAACUCAAGUGGCGGACGGGUGAGUAACACGUGAGAAUUUGCCUUUAGGAGGGGGAUAACAGAGUGAAAACGCUGCUAAUACCCCAUAUGCUUUCGAGUGAAAUGGAUUUAUUCGCCUAAAGAGAAGCUCGCGGCUGAUUAGCUUGUUGGUAAGGUAAUGGCUUACCAAGGCGACGAUCAGUAUCUGGUUUGAGAGGACGAUCAGACACACUGGAACUGAGACACGGUCCAGACUCCUACGGGAGGCAGCAGUGGGGAAUUUUCCGCAAUGGGCGAAAGCCUGACGGAGCAAUACCGCGUGAGGGAUGACUGCCUAUGGGUUGUAAACCUCUUUUCUCAGGGAGGAAAUCAAUGACGUUACCUGAGGAAUAAGCAUCGGCUAACUCCGUGCCAGCAGCCGCGGUAAGACGGAGGAUGCAAGUGUUAUCCGGAAUCACUGGGCGUAAAGCGUCUGUAGGUGGCUUAACAAGUCAACUGUUAAAUCUUGAAGCUCAACUUCGAAAUCGCAGUCGAAACUGUUAGGCUAGAGUAUAGUAGGGGUAAAGGGAAUUUCCAGUGGAGCGGUGAAAUGCGUAGAGAUUGGAAAGAACACCGAUGGCGAAGGCACUUUACUGGGCUAUUACUGACACUCAGAGACGAAAGCUAGGGUAGCAAAUGGGAUUAGAUACCCCAGUAGUCCUAGCCGUAAACAAUGGAUACUAGAUGUUGGGCAGAUCGACCUGUUCAGUAUCAAAGCUAACGCGUUAAGUAUCCCGCCUGGGAAGUAUGCGCGCAAGCGUGAAACUCAAAGGAAUUGACGGGGGCCCGCACAAGCGGUGGAGCAUGUGGUUUAAUUCGAUGCAACGCGAANAACCUUACCAGGGUUUGAC
rnacentral:rRNA from 1 species